rnacentral:tRNA from 1 species
GAGGCUUUAGCUUAAUUAAAGUGUCUGGGUUGCAUUCAGAAGAUGUAUGGUUUAACUUACAGGCCUU